ACCCGCAAGAGAAGUCGUCCAUAGCUUUCAAGUCUCUGUCUUAUCUCUCCAUGCUUAUCUUCUUUGGCUGAUUCUCUACCAUUUCUUAAACUGUCUCUUACCUUUCACCUCUCUAUUUAUAUGAAUGCAUAGACGUACGUUAGUAAUAUUGAUAAGUAAAGAGGAUUGUUAAGAUGACAUCUUCUAUAGUCACUCCCAUUGUUCUCUUUCUUCUUCUUCUUCUCGUGUCUCCACAUAUGAAUGAAGCCCUUGGUACACAAAUGGAACUAGGCAAACUUGGUGAAGAAAAGACAAACCAUCCUGAUCAAGUGAUGGUCCAAAGGAUUCCACGGUUUUCAAUUGCGCGACGGUUUUUAGCGAGUCCGUGCCCAUUCUACUCCCGAUGUAAGCCUUCAUACUCACUUCCAAAACCUCCACAACUUCCUCCGUGCCAAGUCUAUAACCGAUGUAAGCGUCAUCCUCCGCUUUCAAGCUCUCCCAAAAGCACAAACGGACUUGGUCACUGAUCUCAUUAUAGCUUCGGAUGCCUCUAUAUGUAGAUGCACGUUUUCUACAUUGUGGUUUGGUUUGCAAUUUCUGUUCUUCAUCCAUAUGCAUGUGUUAUUUGUCAUAAUUUACAAAGUUAUCUAAUGCAAAAAUACAUACAUAUAAAUAUAUCAACUGGGCUACUAGAAGUUCCCUUCCUUGGUUGAUCA